rnacentral:lncRNA from 1 species
GCGGACCGCGCUCCGGGCCGGGGGCGUGGCCUGGGGGUGGCGAGCGCUCCGGAGCGGGGGAUAGAGGGAGAGGCGGGCUGGGGGCGUGGCUUGGGCGUGGCCCGAGAGCCGGGCCGGGGGCGUGGCCCGGGCGGGCGGGGGCGUGGCCCGGGCGGGCGGGGGCGUGGCCCGGGCGGGCGGGGGCGUGGCCCGGGGAGCCGGGCGGCCGCGGCGCAGGCGGGAUUCGGCGGCGCGCUUUCUCUAGCGGCCGCCCCGCCCGCCGCCAGCCGGGAGGCAGCGCACCGGGGCAGAGGCUCCUGCGAGGGAGCCCGGCGUGCUCCGAGCUCCGCGAGACCGGGAGCGGCCCCGUCUCGUAUCCACUGGCUCCGGAGGCUCCGCCGAGUGGGGGCCGCGCGAGGUGAGGCUGCCGCUGGGCGCGCGGCUGUGCGGGGCACGCGCGGGGCUGGGGCCGGCGGCCGGGGCUGUUCGCGGGGCCCCCGGAGGGGAAUUAGCCCCGAUCGACGGCCUGAAGCCCGAGGACGCCCUGCGCGUCCUCCUGGGCGCUUCUCGGGGCCGCCGGGCUGCCCACCUGUUGGUGCCCUGCGGUGCUGGCUUGGCGGCCCCCUCCCCUCCCCGCCCCUUCCCUCCCGGUCCCGGUCCCGGUCCCGGUCCCCGGCCCCGUCCCCGUCCCCGUCCCGGGCUCGGCCAGCGCCGUGGCCCCGGGGAGCGCGUGCGGGCGGUGCUCCUGGAGCAGGCCGUCUGCCCCACGACCCGUGCGGGGAUCACCCUGAAACUUUACCCCGCGCUCCCGACCCGCCGGGCCUGGCCUUCGAGGUCGCGCGGGGCGCCCGGGGCGGCCUCCGUUCCCGCCCGUCCCGGCUCGGCGCCCUCGGGAGGCGCGCCCGGAGCCGCCGCAGCUGCGGCCCUACGGGGCUGGCGGUCGCAGGACUUAGUUUUGGAAGCAAGUUUCUCCGCGGGUCCCCGCUGGGUCUCGUUUCGCGAGGCAGCCGGGAGGACCCGGUGUCGGUCGCCUCUGACUCGGCGGGCACGGCCGGAGGCGGUUUGGUUCCAGCUGCGGUUGACGUGUGCGGGAAUUUGCAUACUAAUUUGCAUACCGGGAAGGUAGCAGCCGGCCCCGCUGCCCGCGUCAGGGGGAACUCAGGUGACCUGUGCCGCCGGCCACCGUCUGUGCGAAGUCGCCGCGCCUGA